rnacentral:rRNA from 1 species
UACAGAGGGUGCGAGCGUUGUCCGGAAUCACUGGGCGUAAAGGGCGCGUAGGUGGCCUGAUAAGUAGGGGGUGAAAUCUCGCGGCUCAACUGCGAGGCUGCCUCCUAAACUGUCGGGCUUGAGCAGAGUAGAGGCAGGUGGAAUUCCCGGUGUAGCGGUGGAAUGCGUAGAGAUCGGGAAGAACAUCGGUGGCGAAGGCGGCCUGCUGGGCUCUUGCUGACACUGAGGCGCGACAGCGUGGGGAGCAAACAGG